rnacentral:rRNA from 1 species
UGGUGGAGCGAUCUGUCUGGUUUAUUCCGUUAACGAACGAGACCUCGACCUGCUAAAUAGUUCGGAUCAGGCUUCGGUCUGGUUGCGACACUUCUUAGAGGGACUAUCGGUGGUUAGCCGAUGGAAGUUCGAGGCAAUAACA